GAAAUGAGAUACUGCUUCUUGAUGCCACUUACCGAACUACGAGAUAUUCUCUUCCCUUAUUUUUUUUAACGAUAAAAACAAAUGUAGAUUAUCAAGUUGUUGCCACUUUUGUAAUCGAAAAUGAAACUAAAAAGGCUAUCACUGAAGCAUUAAAUAUAAUAAAACAAUGGAAUGCAUUGUUAAAUCCUACUUUUUGUAUGACUGAUUAUUGCAACGAAGAAAUAGAGUCAUUAGAAGCUAUUUUUCCAGAUUGUCGAGUCUUCAUAUGUGAUUUUCAUAGAGAGCAGGCAUGGGAUCGUUGGUUGUCAAAGACUACAAAUGGAUGCUCUGAUUUUAAAGGAAGUAUAAUUUCAUUGCUGCGUUGUGUUGCUAGAGCACAAACUCAAGAAGAGGUAGAAGCAGCUAUUGAGUUACUAAGUUUAUCCAAGUUUUGGUUGGAUUACAAGUUUAACAGAUUUAAAAAAUAUAUAACAAAUUAUUGGUUAAGUAUUAAAUAAAAAUGGAUAUGGGCUUAUCGUCGCGAUCGAUUGUUGGUUGGUUUAAAUACUAACAAUGGGGUGGAAAGACAAAAUGAAUCCUUUAAAUAUUUUUAUUUGCAACAGCAUAAAAAUUCAUCUAUUACUGGUAUGCUAACCCUAUUGAUUGAAGAAUUUUUUCCAGACAAAUUUGAACAAUAUUCAGAAUCCAAUUUCAAAAUGAGUUGUCAGUACAGACGUUAUAGUAUGAAUGUACCUCAUUUUUUACAUAAUAAGCCACAUCAUUUUGUUAAACAUUGUUUACAGAAACAUAAUUUAG